rnacentral:misc_RNA from 1 species
AACGCAUAUUGCGCCUUCUGGUAUUCCGGAAGGCAUGCUUGUUUGAGUAUCAGUAAAUACCCCUCAGCCUCUCUCUACCUUUUGCCACCUUCAAAUCUCUUGGGGUUUUUGGGAAAAAGGAGGAGGUUGGAUUUGAGCAAAAAUUCCCUUGUUUUCCAAAAAUUUUUGGAAUUGCAGGGAAUUUUGCUUGAAAUUCAGGUUCGGCCAAGACAAAAUUUUUGUCCUACAAGCAAAUUUUCACUUUAUCCCGUCAAACGGAUAAUCUCUUUUUUGCUUUUGGUGGUGAAUUUUUGUCGAAAUGGCUCGACUGAUGCAGAAGUGUUUUUUCUUUUAAAAACGUACUCUCGAUCUCAAAUCAAGUAAGACUACCCGCUGAACUUAA